GAUGAACGCUGGCGGCGUGCCUAAUACAUGCAAGUCGAGCGAACAGACGAGGAGCUUGCUCCUCUGACGUUAGCGGCGGACGGGUGAGUAACACGUGGAUAACCUACCUAUAAGACUGGGAUAACUUCGGGAAACCGGAGCUAAUACCGGAUAAUAUAUUGAACCGCAUGGUUCAAUAGUGAAAUACGGUUUUGCUGUCACUUAUAGAUGGAUCCGCGCCGCAUUAGCUAGUUGGUAAGGUAACGGCUUACCAAGGCAACGAUGCGUAGCCGACCUGAGAGAGUGAUCGGCCACACUGGAACUGAGACACGGUCCAGACUCCUACGGGAGGCAGCAGUAGGGAAUCUUCCGCAAAGGGCGAAAGCCUGACGGAGCAACGCCGCGUGAGUGAUGAAGGUCUUCGGAUCGUAAAACUCUGUUAUUAGGGAAGAACAAAUGUGUAAGUAACUAUGCACGUCUUGACGGUACCUAAUCAGAAAGCCACGGCUAACUACGUG
rnacentral:rRNA from 1 species